GGAGCACCAAAGGAAAUUAAGAUUGGUUACCACCAAGAGUUUGAAGGCUCCCGCUGCUUUAUGGUGGUUCGUUCAGAUGACACAGUUGAAGACUUCUCAUAUCGCAAGUGUAUGCAACAUGCUCUGGAACUGAUUGCUCCUCAGAAGGCAAAAACCUCUAGAUGGUUGAAUGGAGCAUCAGCCUAAGUUGCUGUUUUGGUUCACUUGGUUACGGUUAUGGUACGCGUAAUAAAUAUGGUGUGUGUUUUGUAUCUGUGGCACGAAUAUGUGCAAUUUUCGAACACCUGUUAGACAAUUGAUGUACUCAUG
rnacentral:misc_RNA from 1 species